rnacentral:rRNA from 1 species
GUCCACGCCGUAAACGAUGUCGACUAGCCGUUGGGCCCUUAUAGGGUUUAGUGGCGCAGCUAACGCAUUAAGUCGACCGCCUGGGGAGUACGGCCGCAAGGUUAAAACUCAAAUGAAUUGACGGGGGCCCGCACAAGCGGUGGAGCAUGUGGUUUAAUUCGAUGCAACGCGAAGAACCUUACCUACCCUUGACAUCCUAAGAAUCUGUUGGAGACAGCGGAGUGCCUUCGGGAGCUUAGAGACAGGUGCUGCAUGGCUGUCGU